UGAGCCAGUGAUGACAGCUGGUGGCGUAGGAGCCCUACCCAAUGAAUGCUACGUGUCUGGAAGUGUGAGGUCCAA